rnacentral:rRNA from 1 species
AACGAACGCUGGCGGCAGGCUUAACACAUGCAAGUCGAACGCCCCGCAAGGGGAGUGGCAGACGGGUGAGUAACGCGUGGGAAUCUACCGUACCCAACGGAACAACAGUUGGAAACGACUGCUAAUACCGUAUACGCCCUACGGGGGAAAGAUUUAUCGGGGUAUGAUGAGCCCGCGUUGGAUUAGCUAGUUGGUGGGGUAAAGGCCUACCAAGGCGACGAUCCAUAGCUGGUCUGAGAGGAUGAUCAGCCGCAUUGGGACUGAGACACGGCCCAAACUCCUACGGGAGGCAGCAGUGGGGAAUAUUGGACAAUGGGCGCAAGCCUGAUCCAGCCAUGCCGCGUGAGUGAUGAAGGUCUUAGGAUUGUAAAGCUCUUUCACCGAUGAAGAUAAUGACGGUAGUCGGAGAAGAAGCCCCGGCUAACUUCGUGCCAGCCGCCGCAGUAA